CGAUGUAGUCAAACUCCGUCAAGUAUGGCUUUGUUUUUAUGCCAUAUUAGAUUCGUAGUUGUGAUGCAUUUUGACGCGCUUCACCCCAUGUGCUUCAAUUUUCGGCCUCAACGUGAAAACUUCCCC